rnacentral:rRNA from 1 species
GAUGAACGCUGGCGGCGUGCCUAAUACAUGCAAGUCGAGCGAACGGACGAGAAGCUUGCUUCUCUGAUGUUAGCGGCGGACGGGUGAGUAACACGUGGAUAACCUACCUAUAAGACUGGGAUAACUUCGGGAAACCGGAGCUAAUACCGGAUAAUAUUUUGAACCGCAUGGUUCAAAAGUGAAAGACGGUCUUGCUGUCACUUAUAGAUGGAUCCGCGCUGCAUUAGCUAGUUGGUAAGGUAGCGGCUUACCAAGGCAACGAUGCAUAGCCGACCUGAGAGGGUGAUCGGCCACACUGGAACUGAGACACGGUCCAGACUCCUACGGGAGGCAGCAGUAGGGAAUCUUCCGCAAUGGGCGAAAGCCUGACGGAGCAACGCCGCGUGAGUGAUGAAGGUCUUCGGAUCGUAAAACUCUGUUAUUAGGGAAGAACAUAUGUGUAAGUAACUGUGCACAUCUUGACGGUACCUAAUCAGAAAGCCGCGGCUAACUACGUG